rnacentral:rRNA from 1 species
CCUACGGGGGGCAGCAGUGAGGAAUAUUGGUCAAUGGCCGCAGGGCUGAACCAGCCAAGUCGCGUGAGGGAUGACGGUCCUAUGGAUUGUAAACCUCUUUUGUCAGGGAGCAAAGGGCGCCACGUGUGGCGCUUUGCGAGUACCUGAAGAAAAAGCAUCGGCUAACUCCGUGCCAGCAGCCGCGGUAAUACGGAGGAUGCGAGCGUUAUCCGGAUUUAUUGGGUUUAAAGGGUGCGCAGGCGGAAUGUGAAGUCAGCGGUAAAAUUUCGGGGCUCAACCCCGUCGUGCCGUUGAAACUGGCGUUCUUGAGUGAGCGAGAAGUAUGCGGAAUGCGUGGUGUAGCGGUGAAAUGCAUAGAUAUCACGCAGAACUCCGAUUGCGAAGGCAGCAUACCGGCGCUCAACUGACGCUCAUGCACGAAAGCGUGGGUAUCGAACAGGAUUAGAGACCCCAGUAGUC